rnacentral:miRNA from 1 species
UCGGGACUACAUAGAUUUACGCG